rnacentral:lncRNA from 1 species
GAAUUCCACGAGUUUUGGUGUUUGUCUAUUUCUGCAGGGGGUUAUCAGGAAAUAUGGAAAAGAGGUCCACAUGUCGGGUUAAUGACGGGAUAUUAACUUGACGCGCAAUUAUCUACCAUCUAGAAGAGUCCAGAAGCCACGGGAGCGAACGGGAGACGUGAUGGAGCCGGGCACUGGGCGCCCGCCCUCCCUUACUGGGCGCCCGCCCUCCCCCCUGGACCAAUCAGGGCGAAGCUCGGGGAUCAUGCUCCACCGACCUAAUACUUCAAGGAAAACCACACGAUCAAUGUCGGUUUGAUCCGACGGCCCAGAUUCACUUGAAGGGACUAUAAAACCAGACCCCCCUAGCCCCUGGAGAUCAUACCUCUUCUACAGAAUCAAAGCUAGGGUUUCAAUUCUUCAUCCAAGUAGUGAGGAUCCCUCUAGUUCUUCUAGUUCUACCUCUAGUUCAUCUAGAUCUAGUUCUAGUUCAUCUAGUUCUAGUUCUAGUUCCUCUAGUUCUAGUUCUAGUUAGUUCUAGUUGUAAUCUAGAAAACAAGGAGAGAGAAGAGGAGAGCAGAGGGGGAGGAGCCGGAUCUGUCGGAUCUUCCUCAACAUUGUACUUUUGCAGCAACUGGUUCGUUCUUCAUCGUUCUCCAGGUUCUUCAAUUCAUAAU